GAGGGGUUGAUCAGUCAAGAUCAUUAUUGUGUGUGCCAGAAAGUAGGGUCGGAGCUUUCGAACCGAAAUGAUGAGUGCAUAAAUUAGCUUCUCAAAUCUUGUAUACCUUAUUUCGGCAUCGUGAAGGGUUUUGUUGAUGUAAUAAAUUGGUCUUUAAGUUUUUUCUUGGUUGUAUAUGAGAAUCGAGCUUAUUAUCGUUAGAGAG
rnacentral:lncRNA from 1 species